GGCUGUUACAGAUGCAGCAAAUGCUUCUUCAAAUACAUCUGAGGGAACCCUUGUCAAAUCUUGCUUUGCCAGAUUCAAACAACGAGCUGCUUGUAAGACAUACCUGCUGUUGCGAAGUUUGUAAUUCUUGAGGCGGCUGAAGUCCUAUCUUUGUGUAUCACUACUUUCCAGAGAAUUGAUAACAUUUUGCUUGGGUCACUUCACUUGAUUUCUGUUUCAUCUGUAGUUCCCAGCUUUCAUUCUUCAGUAUGUUGAUUUCACUUCUUAAAUAGUUGAUUAAUAACUGUAAGCU
rnacentral:lncRNA from 1 species